CCACACAGCAAAAUGCGCAGCUAGCAUGUUCAAGACUUUUCUUAUGAGAAAGCAUGCCAUAACACAAGGAGAUCAUCAUCAUCAUCAUCAUCAUCAUCAUCAUCAUAAUAGCACAAUACUAAGCCAGCAGUUCCCAACCAGCUGAGAGAAAGGUAACUCACCACUACUGUAAGCGUACGGGGACUCGGCUGAUCCAUCCUGCAGACUGUCCAGGAUCUCUCCUUUUCCCACAUCGCUGUCUCCGACCAGGAGGAACUUGAGCAGCGCUAUGGAGAUAGGUCUGGCAAUGCGAGACUACCUCACUUGUGACCCGUCUUACCAGAGUGAAGACCAGGUAGUAGAGCGCUGUGGUGGGCAGCAGGAACAGCAGGACGGUGAACAGCAGCGUCCCAAUGAAGAGCUGAAACACCACAUAACACACUCACAGUAAACACGGAGUGUGUACCAACUGAGGCAGCCUGAAGAAAACAACGUGAGGCACUAAAUAAUUUUUUUAUAAGCGUCUGACCCAGUUACGCAACAGUGACUUAAACAAAACAUCCUGUUCUGCAAGUCGGAUUCAGAUGAUUUAUGUAUUGCCAUACUAGUUAUAAUUAAAGGGAUAAUAACAAUGGCGUGUGCUUUUGAAUGUAGCUGUUAUGCUGCUGCAUAAAUACACUUUUUCUGUUUA